rnacentral:rRNA from 1 species
CCUACGGGAGGCAGCAGUGGGGAAUAUUGCACAAUGGGGGAAACCCUGAUGCAGCGACGCCGCGUGAGUGAAGAAGUAAUUCGUUAUGUAAAGCUCUAUCAGCAGGGAAGAAAAUGACGGUACCUGAGUAAGAAGCCCCGGCUAACUACGUGCCAGCAGCCGCGGUACUACGUAGGGGGCAAGCGUUAUCCGGCUUUACUGGGUGUAAAGGGAGCGUAGACGGCAGUGCAAGUCUGGAGUGAAAGGCGGGGGCUCAACCCCCGGACUGCUCUGGAAACUGUACGGCUGGAGUGCAGGAGAGGUAAGUGGAAUUCCUAGUGUAGCGGUGAAAUGCGUAGAUAGUAGGAGGAACACCAGUGGCGAAGGCGGCUUACUGGACUGUAACUGACGUUGAGGCUCGAAAGCGUGGGGAGCAAACAGGAUUAGAUACCCUGGUAGUC